AUGCACGCUGGCGGCGUGCCUAAUACAUGCAAGUCGAGCGAACGGACGAGAAGCUUGCUUCUCUGAUGUUAGCGGCGGACGGGUGAGUAACACGUGGAUAACCUACCUAUAAGACUGGGAUAACUUCGGGAAACCGGAGCUAAUACCGGAUGAUAUUUUGAACCGCAUGGUUCAAAAGUGAAAGACGGUCUUGCUGUCACUUAUAGAUGGAUCCGCGCUGCAUUAGCUAGUUGGUAAGGUAACGGCUUACCAAGGCAACGAUGCAUAGCCGACCUGAGAGGGUGAUCGGCCACACUGGAACUGAGACACGGUCCAGACUCCUACGGGAGGCAGCAGUAGGGAAUCUUCCGCAAUGGGCGAAAGCCUGACGGAGCAACGCCGCGUGAGUGAUGAAGGUCUUCGGAUCGUAAAACUCUGUUAUUAGGGAAGAACAUAUGUGUAAGUAACUGUGCACAUCUUGACGGUACCUAAUCAGAAAGCCACGGCUAACUACGUG
rnacentral:rRNA from 1 species